GAAAUCCCAGCCGGAAGUUCGGCCGGUGUUUCUUCCGCUGGCUUGACGCCGGUCUGCAGUGAUAACGGAGGUCCUCUGUACAGAGGCCCCGUUCCCGCCGGUAAACCGCCUAACAUGACAGAUAAGAGGCUUUGAGGGAGACUAACGGACCCGUGGGGCCUGAGAAGUCAUGCUCACUCGACCACUGACUCUAAACAGUGAUGACAGGGGGCGGGGCCUGGUAGCAGUAACUCCUCCUCCUGCUCUCCAAUUGGCUGAUGAGGUUGAUGAUGACGAAGAGACUCAAACAGGAGCCUUUUCUCCUCCUGCUCCUCUUUGGAGCUCCCCCUCUGCUUCACCUGCCUUUCCUCCUUCUCCUCCCUGUUUCCUCUCCUCUGCUUCUUUUACUCCUCCACCUCCUACUCUCCAUUCAUCUUCUAUUUCUCCUCCUCUGCCUCCUCAUGUCUUUUGUUCUCCUCCUCCUUCUUCCCUCUCUUCUCCUCUUUCUUCCUCAUCCCACUCACCUCCUUUACCAUCUCCUCCUCCUCCUCCUGUCUCUUCCCCUUCCCGUACUACUCCUCCCAUCGCCAUCAUUACUGCUCCCUCUUCUGUUUCUCCUCAUCCUUCAUCGUCUUCUCCUAUUCCUCCAUCACUACAUUCUUCACCUCCCUCCAUGACUUUUCAUUUUGUCCAUACUACUCCUCCUGUCUCCUCUUCUCCUUUACCUCCUCCUCCUCUUCCUGCCUCCUCUUCUCGUUUAUCUCCUCCUUCUGUCUACUCUUCUCCUUUACCUCCUCCUCCUCAUCCUGUCUCCUCUUCUUC